UACGGAGGUGGCAAGCGUUGCUCGGAAUCACUGGGCGUAAAGGGCGCGUAGGCGGGGAGGUAAGUCGGGUGUGAAAUCCCUCGGCUUAACCGGGGAACUGCGUCUGAUACUGGAUGGCUUGAGGUUGGGAGAGGGAUGCGGAAUUCCAGGUGUAGCGGUGAAAUGCGUAGAUAUCUGGAGGAACACCGGUGGCGAAGGCGGCAUCCUGGACCAAUUCUGACGCUGAGUGAGCGAAAGCCAGGGGAGCAAACGGG
rnacentral:rRNA from 1 species